rnacentral:sRNA from 1 species
UCUUAAAGACACCACACUUAGCUAAUAAGAGCAUCCACAUAGCACAUCUUUUAAUGGAUGUCUUUAUUUUAAGAGAGAGAACAAGAUUGACAAUAAAUAGAGCGACUUUUUA